UUUUAAAUGGCCGCAGUAUUUUGACUGUGCAAAGGUAGCAUAAUCAUUAGUUUUUUAAUUAAAAGCUUGUAUGAAAGGCUGGACGAGGUAAAAUCUGUCUCUAUUUAAAUUAUAGUAGAAUUUAACUUUUAAGUUAAAAGGCUUAAAUAUUAUUAAAAGACGAGAAGACCCUAUAGAUCUUUAUAGUUUAUUAAAUUAAAUUAAUUUAGAAAUAUUAAUGUUUUAUUUAAUUAAGGUAUUUUAUUGGGGUAAUAAAAAGAUUGAAUUAAUUCUUUUUUAUAAUAAACAUUAAUUUAUGAAUAUUAAUGAUCCAGUUUUACUGAUUAUAAGAUUAAGUUACCUUAGGGAUAACAGCGUAAUUUUUUUAGAGAGUUCAUAUCGAUAAAAAAGUUUGCGACCUCGAUGUUGGAUUAAAGAUUAUUUUAGGUGUAGAAGCUUAAUAAUUUUGGUCUGUUCGACCAUUAAAUCUUUACAUGAUCUGAGUUCAGACCGGCGUAAGCCAGGUCGGUUUCUAUCUUUAAUAAAAUAGAAUAUUUUAGUACGAAAGGACCAAAUAUUUGAUAUAUUUAUAUUUAAUUUAUUGAAUAUUA
rnacentral:rRNA from 1 species